GCGGGCGUGGGUCAUUGGUGGAUCAACGGCCUUCCAAGCCGUCCAGGCUCGGUUCGAUUCCGGCCGCCCGCUCCA
rnacentral:tRNA from 1 species